GCUUCCGUGGUGUAACGGUUAGCACACUCGGCUUGUAUUCGUGAAGUCCAAGUUCGAGUCCCGGCGAAGGCA
rnacentral:tRNA from 1 species